CAGGAUGAACGCUAGCGGCAGGCUUAACACAUGCAAGUCGAGGGGUAACAGGUAGCUUGCUAUGCUGACGACCGGCGAACGGGUGCGUAACGCGUAUAGAAUCUGCCUUGUACAGGAGGAUAGCCUUUAGAAAUGAAGAUUAAUACUCCAUAAUGUUAAUUAGAGGCAUCUCUUAUUAAUUAAACAUUUAUGGGUACAAGAUGACUAUGCGUCCUAUUAGCUAGAUGGUAAGGUAACGGCUUACCAUGGCAACGAUAGGUAGGGGGUCUGAGAGGAUUAUCCCCCACACUGGUACUGAGACACGGACCAGACUCCUACGGGAGGCAGCAGUGAGGAAUAUUGGUCAAUGGAGGCAACUCUGAACCAGCUAUGCCGCGUGCAGGAAGACUGCCCUAUGGGUUGUAAACUGCUUUUAUACAGGAAGAAACAGUAGUACGUGUACUACCUUGACGGUACUGUAAGAAUAAGGACCGGCUAACUCCGUGCCAGCAGCCGCGGUAAUACGGAGGGUCCAAGCGUUAUCCGGAAUCAUUGGGUUUAAAGGGUCCGCAGGCGGUCAAUUAAGUCAGAGGUGAAAGCCCAUCGCUCAACGAUGGAACUGCCUUUGAUACUGGUUGACUUGAGUUAUACGGAAGUAGAUAGAAUAAGUAGUGUAGCGGUGAAAUGCAUAGAUAUUACUUAGAAUACCGAUUGCGAAGGCAGUCUACUACGUAUAUACUGACGCUCAUGGACGAAAGCGUGGGGAGCGAACAGGAUUAGAUACCCUGGUAGUCCACGCCGUAAACGAUGGAUACUAGUUGUUGGGUUUCGACUCAGUGACUAAGCGAAAGUGAUA
rnacentral:rRNA from 1 species